rnacentral:rRNA from 1 species
AUACAUGCAAGUCGAACGCUUCUUUUUCCACCGGAGCUUGCUCCACCGGAAAAAGAGGAGUGGCGAACGGGUGAGUAACACGUGGGUAACCUGCCCAUCAGAAGGGGAUAACACUUGGAAACAGGUGCUAAUACCGUAUAACAAUCAAAACCGCAUGGUUUUGAUUUGAAAGGCGCUUUCGGGUGUCGCUGAUGGAUGGACCCGCGGUGCAUUAGCUAGUUGGUGAGGUAACGGCUCACCAAGGCCACGAUGCAUAGCCGACCUGAGAGGGUGAUCGGCCACAUUGGGACUGAGACACGGCCCAAACUCCUACGGGAGGCAGCAGUAGGGAAUCUUCGGCAAUGGACGAAAGUCUGACCGAGCAACGCCGCGUGAGUGAAGAAGGUUUUCGGAUCGUAAAACUCUGUUGUUAGAGAAGAACAAGGAUGAGAGUAACUGUUCAUCCCUUGACGGUAUCUAACCAGAAAGCCACGGCUAACUACGUGCCAGCAGCCGCGGUAAUACGUAGGUGGCAAGCGUUGUCCGGAUUUAUUGGGCGUAAAGCGAGCGCAGGCGGUUUCUUAAGUCUGAUGUGAAAGCCCCCGGCUCAACCGGGGAGGGUCAUUGGAAACUGGGAGACUUGAGUGCAGAAGAGGAGAGUGGAAUUCCAUGUGUAGCGGUGAAAUGCGUAGAUAUAUGGAGGAACACCAGUGGCGAAGGCGGCUCUCUGGUCUGUAACUGACGCUGAGGCUCGAAAGCGUGGGGAGCAAACAGGAUUAGAUACCCUGGUAGUCCACGCCGUAAACGAUGAGUGCUAAGUGUUGGAGGGUUUCCGCCCUUCAGUGCUGCAGCUAACGCAUUAAGCACUCCGCCUGGGGAGUACGACCGCAAGGUUGAAACUCAAAGGAAUUGACGGGGGCCCGCACAAGCGGUGGAGCAUGUGGUUUAAUUCGAAGCAACGCGAAGAACCUUACCAGGUCUUGACAUCCUUUGACCACUCUAGAGAUAGAGCUUCCCCUUCGGGGGCAAAGUGACAGGUGGUGCAUGGUUGUCGUCAGCUCGUGUCGUGAGAUGUUGGGUUAAGUCCCGCAACGAGCGCAACCCUUAUUGUUAGUUGCCAUCAUUCAGUUGGGCACUCUAGCAAGACUGCCGGUGACAAACCGGAGGAAGGUGGGGAUGACGUCAAAUCAUCAUGCCCCUUAUGACCUGGGCUACACACGUGCUACAAUGGGAAGUACAA